ACAGCAGUAGCCGCGGUAAUACGGAGGGGGCUAGCGUUGUUCGGAAUUACUGGGCAUAAAGCGCACGUAGGCGGCUUGGUAAGUUAGAGGUGAAAGCCUGGAGCUCAACUCCAGAAUUGCCUUUAAGACUGCCGAGCUUGAAUCGCGGAGAGGUGAGUGGAAUUCCGAGUGUAGAGGUGAAAUUCGUAGAUAUUCGGAAGAACACCAGUGGCGAAGGCGGCUCACUGGACGCGUAUUGACGCUGAGGUGCGAAAGCGUGGGGAGCAAACAGGAUUAGAUACCCCUGAGUCCCUGUCUCUUAUACA
rnacentral:rRNA from 1 species